rnacentral:lncRNA from 1 species
ACCGGGACCGGGAGAGGGAGGAGGGAGGAGGGAGGAGGUGGAGAUAAUUAGAAGGGAGGAGGGAGGAGGCUAGGGUUUCGCAGUUAAACCCGAAAACUUUAGCCGACGAAAUAAUUAUUUCGUCGGCUAAAGAUACGAAUUUCGUCGGCUAUAAACAAAUUCGUCGGCUAAACCUUCUAAACUCGUCGGCUAAAACUUUGAAAUUUGUCGGCUAAACUUUAUAAAUUCGUCGGCUAAACCUUUGAAAUUCGUCGGCUAACCUUUGACAUUCGUCGGCUAAAAGUAUUUUUAUACAUUUGGCAUGUUGUGAUUGUGAUGAUCAAACUUGAUAAACAGAAAUCCGACCGUCAGAUCUGACCAUCAUGAUAAAAUACAUGUAUGGGAAAAAAUUCAACUUGAUCCGAAAAGAAUAAGGGCUCGAUCCGGACGGUCAAUCUCGUAAGUCAAACCCCUAAACGCACGGAAAAGGUCGUUCGACCGUCUAAAUUACGUAUUUUGGCCGGACCUCCAACUGAAAAUAGUUUUAAACCGAUGACACGCAACAAGUCGUAUAAAAAUUUUACGCAAAAUAACCACCGAAUAUAGGGCUACUCAUAGGGGGAAAAAAUGAAAAAUUGCAUUGACCGCAACUAUCGGCACCGAAUAUUUACCGGAAUAGUGUGAUUUUUCAACCGUGGAUGUAUUUCAACAUUCUCGUCAUAUCUUAUUUCAUGACUUUUUG